GCCGGGGUAGCUCAAUCGGUAGAGCGUGUGGCUCUUAUGACAGCGCAAGUUGUUCAGAAAACCUCAAGGUCGUGGGUUCGAGCCCCACCUUCGGCU
rnacentral:tRNA from 1 species